rnacentral:misc_RNA from 1 species
GUAACAAGGUUUCCGUAGGUGAACCUGCGGAAGGAUCAUUACUGAUUUGCUUAAUUGCACCACAUGUGUUUUUCUUUGAAACAAACUUGCUUUGGCGGUGGGCCCAGCCUGCCGCCAGAGGUCUAAACUUACAACCAAUUUUUUAUCAACUUGUCACACCAGAUUAUUACUUAAUAGUCAAAACUUUCAACAACGGAUCUCUUGGUUCUCGCAUCGAUGAAGAACGCAGCGAAAUGCGAUACGUAAUAUGAAUUGCAGAUAUUCGUGAAUCAUCGAAUCUUUGAACGCACAUUGCGCCCUCUGGUAUUCCGGAGGGCAUGCCUGUUUGAGCGUCGUUUCUCCCUCAAACCGCUGGGUUUGGUGUUGAGCAAUACGACUUGGGUUUGCUUGAAAGACGGUAGUGGUAAGGCGGGAUCGCUUUGACAAUGGCUUAGGUCUAACCAAAAACAUUGCUUGCGGCGGUAACGUCUACCACGUAUAUCUUCAAACUUUGACCUCAAAUCAGGUAGGACUACCCGCUGAACUUAAGCAUAUCA